UACGUAGGGGGCAAGCGUUGUCCGGAUUUAUUGGGCGUAAAGAGCGUGUAGGCGGCCAGACAGGUCAGCUGUGAAAACUCGAGGCUCAACCUCGAGACGUCGGUUGAAACCGUCUGGCUAGAGUCCGGAAGAGGAGUGUGGAAUUCCCGGUGUAGCGGUGAAAUGCGCAGAUAUCGGGAAGAACACCCGUGGCGAAGGCGGCACUCUGGGACGGUACUGACGCUGAGACGCGAAAGCGUGGGGAGCGAACAGG
rnacentral:rRNA from 1 species